rnacentral:tRNA from 1 species
GGUUUCGUGGCGUAGUUGGUUAUCGCGUCUGCCUUACACGCAGAAGGUCGCCGGUUCGAGCCCGGCUGAAACCA